rnacentral:tRNA from 1 species
GCCAGUGUGGUGUAGUGGUUUGGGUGCUGGACUGACUCUGUAGACCAGGGUUUGAUUCCCUGCUCAGCCA